GAUGAACGCUGGCGGCGUGCCUAAUACAUGCAAGUCGAGCGAACAGAUGAGGAGCUUGCUCCUCUGACGUUAGCGGCGGACGGGUGAGUAACACGUGGAUAACCUACCUAUAAGACUGGGAUAACUUCGGGAAACCGGAGCUAAUACCGGAUAAUAUAUUGAACCGCAUGGUUCAAUAGUGAAAGACGGUUUUGCUGUCACUUAUAGAUGGAUCCGCGCCGCAUUAGCUAGUUGGUAAGGUAACGGCUUACCAAGGCAACGAUGCGUAGCCGACCUGAGAGGGUGAUCGGCCACACUGGAACUGAGACACGGUCCAGACUCCUACGGGAGGCAGCAGUAGGGAAUCUGCAGCAAUGGGCGAAAGCCUGACGGAGCAACGCCGCGGGAGUGAUGAAGGUCUUCGGAUCGUAAAACUCUGUUAUUAGGGAAGAACAAAUGUGUAAGUAACUAUGCACGUCUUGACGGUACCUAAGCAGAAAGCCACGGCUAACUACGU
rnacentral:rRNA from 1 species